AGCAUUCCUGCCUCCAACUGUGGAGGCUAAGCAUAGCCAUCAUGGCUUGACAACCCUCUUUGUGAAUUUGUCCAUUCCUCUUUUACAGACGUAUAAGUCGGUGGUCAUCACGGCCUCCUGUGCGAGCAAGUUCCAUAUAAGUACACACUGUGUGAAGAAGUCCUUUCUUUUAUCUGUCCCGAAUCAUCCAACAUUCAGCUUCAUGGGGCAUCCAUGAGUUCUCGUGAUUUGGGAAGGGCUGCAGCUCAGUGGUAGAACACCUGCUUUGCAUGCCAAGGCCCCAGGUUCAAUCCCUGAGCGUGUGCAGUUAAAACAGGGCUGGGGAACCUGUGUUAGCAGACUAGGACACCCAACAUCCCAUGCUGAGUGGGAGAUGGAGUUCAACAAUACCUGGCAGGCCACAGGUUCCCCCCCCCCUGAGUUAAAGGGGCCAAGUAGCAGCAGGUGAUGGGGAAAUAGCUCUGCCUGAGGCCCUACCUGAUGGAGUAGACAAUCUUGAGCUAGAUCAGAGUUGUGGCCCAUCCAAAUGCUGUUGGACUCCAAUUUCCAUCAUGGCCAAUUACUUACUUAGAGAUUAUGGGAGUUUUAGUCCUAUAGCACCGGGAAGGUCACAGGUUCCCCAGCCCUGGGCUAGAUGAACAAAUUAUAUGCCCAGUAUAAGGCAGUUUAGUAUGAUCUGUUUGGGUUCUUGCUUUCUACACCUGGACCCUAAAAUGACCAUCCUCAUGCUUUAUGGCCAUGCCGUUGCAGAGGGGCAAGAGGGCUGGUCAGGCUAGUCUUCUAUUUGGUAGCCCCUGUCCCAGCACAUUCCCCGGUCAGUCCACAUCUGACAUGCACCAGCUAUAGGCUUCCUCUUCAUGUCCCAGUAGGGAAGGAAAGUUGCUAGCCCCUGUCUGAAAGCUUGGCGAGGCCCCAUCAGUUAGUAUAGACCAGCUUUCCAUAUCCUGAUGACCUCCAGAAGUUGUUGGACUCCAGCUCCCAUCAGCCCCAGCCAGCAUGGCCAAAGGUCAUGGAUGAUGGGAGUUGGAGUCCAAGAACUACCGGAGAGCACCAGGUUGGGGAAAGCUACCAGAGGGUUACUGGAGACAGAAAGGCCCUGAUACUGUGAUGGAUAGGCAGGAGUACAUCUGGCUGGGCAACACUAGUUUUCCAAGCUUUUCUUCCUUAUAGACAAGGAUACGGGGAAGAAACAGAACAGCCCAUUAUUGUUAAUAUUUCUUUUUCCCUCCUCUCUCUCUCUCUCUCUCUCCAAGUAAUGAUGCUUGUCCAGAGUUUCAAUGUGGUGUUAAGAAGGUAGAGGACACAGUCUAUUUACACAUACUGAAGAAAGAAAUAGCUGGAAGGAGAAGAAAACAGAGAGGAGGCGGAGGACGGCGAGCCGAGUGGGCAAGUCUUCAAGGAAGGCACGCGGCAAUUGUGUAAUACACAAACCAACAGUGUGACAAGCCGGCACAUGAAAUCAAACCAGCUGUGGCGCAGAUAUAUGUGACCGCCGUGUUGUGUUCUGCCACGACCACUGCAGUAGCCAUGUUGUGACUGGUGCCCACGGCACUCCCCCAAAAUUUCAAAACUGGCACCAAAAGGUGGGUGACUCCUGUGGUACGCCAUACUCUCCCAUGCCUCUGGUUUGUCUGAUUGGAGGAUAAAGAAGGAUGUGUUUAGCUUUGUGUAGUAGGCUAGUUUCUAAACUCAUUCUUUGGAGAAGGAAUUCCUUGGUUCAUUUUUAAGGCUGAAAAACUUCCCCCAUUCCUGCAGAGGAUGGCCAACAGCUCUACUCCCUUAGAAACAGCCUUGGCUUCCUGACCAAUCUCCCUGCUCCCCUCACUGCUCACUCACUUGGAGAGGACAGAUGAACAAGGAGGAGAAGCAGAAGAAAAAAGACAGGGCCCAGUGGCUAUUGAGAUCAUCAGUGGUCCCCCUAUUCAGAACAAGGGGCAACCCCAAAACCAGCUAGGAAGACAGCUUGCCGUGUUUUGAAGCGCCUCUACAAGUGUUAAAUGGGGCUGUUGGCAAACCAGCAUCUUGUUCAGGGCUGUCCCGAGUCACCCAGCAACUUACUGUAACAACUUCAUGGUGAGUUCCUAUUUUUCUUGGGAAAGCACCAAAUAAGGGUACACUUGUGCUUUUCAGUCUUGGUUUAUUACACCUGUAGAUGCAUCUCUCAUAGCACAAUAUUUUUUUCUUCUCUCUGUUUCAACCUCAGCCUGUCUCAAGCAGUGGGAGGAGGGGUAAUCCGUCAAAACACAGAAGGAAAUAUUUCCAAUCUGCAAACAACUCCCCACUAACUCUUUCCUCCACCUAUCCGCACAUGUUUACACAAUAAGCACACAACUCGGGGGAUCAAAGCAUUGAUGUCUGCUUUAAGUUUUGACAUCACUAUGGUACAUUUGGUGCUUUUUGCCAUACUCUCUCUGUGUUUUAAUUAUUAACUAGCUUUUUUCUUUAUUCCUUUUGAAAUGAGAAAAAAGAAGGGGGAAAGGAAAAACCUGGUGCUUUGAGAUGGCUCCGACCAAAGGAAGGCAAGAGGAUGAAGCAAAGGUAGAAAAAUGUUGUUGUUUUUUAGUAGAACAGGGAUAGCCAAUGUGGCACCCUCCAGGUAUUGUAGACUACAACAACCAACAACAGGCAGCGUGGCCUAUGCUCAGGGAUAAUGGGAGUUGUAGUUAUGUAGGUCAUCACAUCAAUGGAUGGACCAUAGCUCAGGGGGAGAGCAUGCAGUGAGGGAGUGAUCUGCUUUGCAUGCAGAAGGUCCCAGGUUCAUGCCAAGGCAUUACACAUAGGGCUCUGUCCUGGCUUCCACUCAACGCAAGCAAACAGAGGCUCUUAGUUGGAAGUAAGAAAGAGAGCCUUGCUCAAACAAGUAAUGCAGGCUCAGCAGCAGCCAAAAUGUUCAGGAGUCACAAUUCAGGAGGAGGGGAAGAAGUUCAGAAGUGGACUGAAGGGACGAGGAUGUCCCAACAAGUUUCUCCACCCUUCACCCCAAGCUUUCAAUUACAAGGCAUGGUGCUCGCAUUUGUAAGACUCAUCUGGUGAGACUACUGGGGUUGCAAGUGUGUGCUCUGUCAAGACAGGUGGACCUGCCAUCUGUGGAGGUGGUGCCUGGUUCCACGUGACAAGAUAGCAUCCUCCUGCUCAAGCUGCUGUCCAGUCACAGCUGCCGCCUGUUCAGCCUUCUCCCUGCUCAAAAAAUACUGAAUUCAAUAAAAACUUUGUUUUUUUCUCUGUCUGUCUUAAGGAUAGGGAACCUGAGGCCCUCCAGAUGUUGGGCUCCAACUUCCACCAGGGCCUUUCUUAUGUUCUUAACAUAUUGAGAGUAAAAGCAGUUCAGCAGUGGAACCAAUUCACUUAGUGGGGUGGUCAGCUCUUCCCCACCCCACCAAGGUUGCACAGCUAUGUGUUGUGGAUGUCCUUGCUCUGGAUUUCCUCCAUCAACCAAGCAGUUGGAACAAAUGGCCUUCAAGGGCUGCCUCCAACUCUGAUUCUAUGAAUUAGCAACCAUGACGGCUUGGAGAAGUGAUCAUGAGUGGAAACGUCUGGAGUGUAAAAAUACAGCAUUGGGGAGGGGCAGUUUCCACC